rnacentral:rRNA from 1 species
CCUACGGGGGGCUGCAGUGGGGAAUAUUGGACAAUGGGGGGAACCCUGAUCCAGCCAUGCCGCGUGUGUGAAGAAGGCCCUCGGGUUGUAAAGCACUUUCAGUGAGGAAGAACGCCUGGUGGUUAAUACCCAUCAGGAAAGACAUCACUCACAGAAGAAGCACCGGCUAACUCCGUGCCAGCAGCCGCGGUAAUACGGAGGGUGCGAGCGUUAAUCGGAAUUACUGGGCGUAAAGCGCGCGUAGGUGGCUUGAUAAGCCGGUUGUGAAAGCCCCGGGCUCAACCUGGGAACGGCAUCCGGAACUGUCAAGCUAGAGUGCAGGAGAGGAAGGUAGAAUCCCCGGUGUAGCGGUGAAAUGCGUAGAGAUCGGGAGGAAUACCAGUGGCGAAGGCGGCCUUCUGGACUGACACUGACACUGAGGUGCGAAAGCGUGGGUAGCAAACAGGAUUAGAUACCCGUGUAGUC